rnacentral:ncRNA from 1 species
UUGAACGCUGGCGGCAGGCCUAACACAUGCAAGUCGAACGGCAGCACAGAAGAGCUUGCUCUUUGGGUGGCGAGUGGCGGACGGGUGAGUAAUGUCUGGGAAACUGCCCGAUGGAGGGGGAUAACUACUGGAAACGGUAGCUAAUACCGCAUAACGUCGCAAGACCAAAGUGGGGGACCUUCGGGCCUCACACCAUCGGAUGUGCCCAGAUGGGAUUAGCUAGUAGGUGGGGUAAUGGCUCACCUAGGCGACGAUCCCUAGCUGGUCUGAGAGGAUGACCAGCCACACUGGAACUGAGACACGGUCCAGACUCCUACGGGAGGCAGCAGUGGGGAAUAUUGCACAAUGGGCGCAAGCCUGAUGCAGCCAUGCCGCGUGUAUGAAGAAGGCCUUCGGGUUGUAAAGUACUUUCAGCGGGGAGGAAGGCGGUGAGGUUAAUAACCUCGCCGAUUGACGUUACCCGCAGAAGAAGCACCGGCUAACUCCGUGCCAGCAGCCGCGGUAAUACGGAGGGUGCAAGCGUUAAUCGGAAUUACUGGGCGUAAAGCGCACGCAGGCGGUCUGUUAAGUCAGAUGUGAAAUCCCCGGGCUUAACCUGGGAACUGCAUUUGAAACUGGCAGGCUUGAGUCUCGUAGAGGGGGGUAGAAUUCCAGGUGUAGCGGUGAAAUGCGUAGAGAUCUGGAGGAAUACCGGUGGGCGAAGGCGGCCCCCUGGACGAAGACUGACGCUCAGUGCGAAGAGCGUGGGAGCAAACAGGGAUUAGAUACCCUGGUAGUCGCGCGCGUAAACGAUGUCCACUUGGAGGUGUGCCUUGGAGGCGUGGGCUUCCGAACUAACGCGUUAAGUCGACCGCCUUGGGGGAGGUACGGUCGCAAGACCGAAACUCAAAGGAAUUGACGGGGCUGCACAGCGUGAGCAUGUGUUUAAUUCGAUACAACGCGCAAAACUUACCAGCCCUUGACAUAUGAACAACAAAACCUGUCUUAACGGGAUGGUACUGACUUUCAUACAGGUGCUGCAUGGCUGUCGUCAGCUCGUGUCGUGAGAUGUUUGGUCAAGUCCUAUAACGAGCGAAACCCUCGUUUUGUGUUGCUGAGACAUGCGCCUAAGGAGAAAGUCUUUGCAACCGAAGUGAGCCGAGGAGCCGAGUGACGUGCCAGCGCUACUAAUUGAGUGCCAGCACGUAGCUGUGCUGUCAGUAAGAAGGGAGCCGGCGCCUUUCGAAGCACUUUCUAGUGUGCGCUUUAGUUUGAUUGCAGCUAGCGCGCUUUACUAAUAACAUAGAAAGGGCUUUCUUUUCUCGCUUGUUUAGUAAAGUCAAGUUUUUGGCCUUAUCUUGCAGGUGACGACGACGUCGAGUUGGCGGCGGAGAAAGACUCGGCAUUCAGGCGAGCCGCCCGGUGGUGUGGUACGUAGUGGGUUUAGUACGCCCCGCCAAAACGGCUCCGAAACAAACAAAAAGGUGCGUGCUGCACUCACGAGGGACUGCCAGUGAUAUACUGGAGGAAGGUGGGGAUGACGUCAAGUCCGCAUGGCCCUUAUGGGCUGGGCCACACACGUGCUACAAUGGCAAUUACAAUGGGAAGCAAGGCUGUAAGGCGGAGCGAAUCCGGAAAGAUUGCCUCAGUUCGGAUUGUUCUCUGCAACUCGGGAACAUGAAGUUGGAAUCGCUAGUAAUCGCGGAUCAGCAUGCCGCGGUGAAUAUGUACCCGGGCCCUGUACACACCGC